rnacentral:rRNA from 1 species
UACGGGGGGAGCAAGCGUUGUUCGGAUUUACUGGGCGUAAAGGGCGCGUAGGCGGCCACCGCAAGUCGAUUGUGAAAUCUCCGGGCUUAACCCGGAAAGGUCAACCGAUACUGCGGGGCUAGAGUGCAGAAGGGGCAACUGGAAUUCCUGGUGUAGCGGUGAAAUGCGCAGAUAUCAGGAGGAACACCGGUGGCGAAGGCGGGUCUCUGGGCCGUAACUGACGCUGAGGAGCGAAAGCGUGGGGAGCGAACAGG